UCUCCGCUGAUGACCUUUUCCCAAUGACUUUCGUUCUUCUGAGCUUGCUGAAGCCGCUCUUAGGGUCUGAGGAGA